AGUAGUAGUAGUAGUAGUAGUAAUAGUAGUAGUAGUAGCAAUCUCCAACCUUAACGUUAUAAUAUCCUUUACAUUAUAACCAAAAAGAAAACCACAUUUGCCUUUUAGAGCAGUUCGUCAUUGUUUAGCUGAGAUAUAUGGAAAUUAUGCUUGGCCCGCAGCUGUCAGGCGCGUAAUUAAAUAUACAACAAUACACGCCGCUGCACGAAGGUCUUCAGCCGCGGGACAUGAGCCGUGCACCCCUCUGAACACGGCGGGGAGGGAGGGACGGGGUGGGAAGGGGAAGGAACGGGAGGGGAAGAGAUAGUGGGAUAAGGGCAGGGAAGGGAUGGAGAAGGGAGAGGGAAAGGAAGGGAAGGGAAGGAAUGGGACGGGAGGGGAAGGGAUAGUGGGAUAAGGGCAGGGAAGGGAUGGAGAAUGGAGACGGAAAGGAAGGGAAGGGAAGGAAUGGGACGGGAGGGGAAGGGAUAGUGGGAUAAGGGCAGGGAAGGGAUGGAGAAGGGAGAGGGAAAGGAAGGCAAGGGAAGGUAAGAUACGAGAAGGAAAGAGAAGGGACAGGGACAGGGAUGAUGGGAGAGAAGGGAAGGGUACGGAGGAGAGGGAAAAAAAGUGAAGGGAAGGGAUGUGAAGGAAGGGAAAAGAAAGGAAGGGGAAAGAGAGGAAUGGAAGGGAAGAUUAAAGAAUGUUAGGGAAGGGAAGGGAAAUGAAGGGAAGGGAAGGGAAGGGAAGGGAAGGGAAGGGAAGGAAUUGUACGAGAGGAGAAAAGGAAAAUGGAGGAAAAUGAAGAAGAAAGGUAUCAAAGGGAAGAAAAGUAAAGGAAAGCAGCGGAGGGAAAGAAAGGGAGAGAGAGAGAGAAAGAAACAGAGGUGGUGGGAGAGAAAGGAAGCGUAGCAACGGAAAGGAGGGGGAGGGGGAGAGCCGAAAGAACAGAGAAAGAAAACGGGAAGAAAAAGGAAGAAAAGGAAAAUGAGGGAAAGGAGUGAUGGAGGGAGAGGAAGGGAGUGGAGAAUGAGGGAGUAACCGUGUCAGGGAAGGAAAAAACUUAAUGGAGAAGGGCAGAUAUUUGACAGUAGAGGGAAGAGGCGAAGAGGUAGGAAGGAAGGAAGGGAUGAUGGGAGAGAAGGGAAGGAAAGAAAAGGGAAGGGAUGUGGAGGAAGGGAAAAGAAGGGAAGGGGAAGGAGAGGAAUGGAAGGGAAGAUUAAAGAAUGUUAGGGAAGGGAAGGGAAAGGAAGGGAAGGGAAGGGAUGUGGAGGAAGGGAAAAGAAGGGAAGGAAAGGGUUGUGAAGGAAGGGAAAAGAAGGGAAGGGGAAGGAAAGGAAUGGAAGGAAAAAUUAAAGAAUGUUAGGGAAGGGAAGGAAAGGGAAGCGAAGGGAAGGGAAGGGAAGGGAAGGGUUGUGGAGGAAGGGAAAAGAAGGGAAGGGGAAGGAAAGGAAUGGAAGGAAAAAUUAAAGAAUGUUAGGGAAGGGAAGGAAAGGGAAGCGAAAGGAAGGGAAGGGAAGGGAUGUGGAGGAAGGGAAAAGAAGGGAAGGGGAAGGAGAGGAAUGGAAGGGAAGAUUAAAGAAUGUUAGGGAAGGGAAGAGAAAUGAAGGGAAGGGAAGGGAAGAAGGAAUCGUGAGGUGGAGAAACGGAGCAAGGAGAAUGAAGAAGUGGAUGGAAGGAAGGAAGGGAUCGUGAGGUGGAGAAACAGAGCAAGGAGAAUGAAGAAGUGGAUGGAAGGAAGGAAGGGAUCGUGAGGUGGAGAAACAGAGCAAGGAGAAUGAAGAAGUGGAUGGAAGGAAGGAAGGGAUCGUGAGGUGGAGAAACAGAGCAAGGAGAAUGAAGAAGUGGAUGGAAGGAAGGAAGGGAUCGUGAGGUGGAGAAACAGAGCAAGGAGAAUGAAGAAGUGGAUGGAAGGAAGGAAGGGAUCGUGAGAUGGAGAAACAGAGCAAGGAGAAUGAAGAAGUGGAUGGAAGGUACAGGGAAGUGAAGAGAGGUGGUAGAAACACUGUGACAAGGAGGGAACGGUUGUGAAAGGCAGGGAGGUAAAAAAAAAAAACUCAAUAACUAAACGUAUAUAAUGAGUCAUGAUUAGCGAGUCCCCUGCAGCGCUGACUCAUGCAAUACCCUGACUCAUGCAACGUCCUCGUCAGCGGUACAGGAAUGUGUGUUUGUGUUUGUUUGUUAGCCCGGCACGACACACAAACAAGCAAACACACACACACACACACACACACACACACACACACACACACACACACACACACAAAGUUGAUAUAUGAAAUGCGUUACUAAAAUGAAAUCGUGUGUGCAAAAAAUAUACAUAAGUUUUUUUAAGGAAAUACUUGAUAAAAUACGAUAAAAUAUGGGAUUAAACAUACAUAACGACCCACACACACACACACACACACACACACACACACACACACACACACACACACACACGCGCGCACGCAAGUACAUAUCACAGGGACGGGAUUUGGUUUUGUCUCCCCUCCAUUGUGCCGUGAUGGGCGAGCGGCGGGCGGUGUUAACGUCCUCCCUCGUCUUCUCUCCAUCACACCGCCGCCCGCGAGUUCUGCAUGGCCAGCGCUUGGGUUUGCGUCGAGGGAUGAAGAAGAAGAAGGAGGAGGAGGAGGAGGAGGAGGAAGAUAAGGAAGAUGGAGAAGGAGGAGGAGGGGAAGAUGAAGAGGAAGAAGAAAGAAAAAAGGAAGAAAGAGAGAGAGAAAGAAAGAAAGAAAGGAAGAAGAAGAAGCAGACUCCGCUUUCUGGUAUGAGCUAAAAUGAGGUAUAGAAUAAAAUGUCAAAGAAAGGACGCACGAACACAAUGAAUGGAAUAACGAAAGAGGAAAUGAAAGAACGAAUAGAGAAUAGGAUAAAGAAAAAAAAUGUCGGAAGGAGGAAGAAAACACGGACACAAGGACUGGAUUAAAGAAAGGAGAAUAAAGGAAGAAAAAAAUAAUAAAAGUAAAGAAUAAAGGAGAUAAAGAAGGGAGACAAUAAAGAAUUAAUAAUAAAGGGGAGGAAGGAAAGAAGGAAAAGGAGAUGGACUGAAAAACAUGGAUGUGGAGGAAGUGAAGAGAAGAGAAGGAAAGAGUAGAUUAGGGAAGAAAGGGGAAGGGAAGGGAUGGUAGGAGAGGAGAGAAGGGACAAGGGGAUAGUGAAGAGAAGAAAGUGUAGCAAAGGGAGAAAAAGGGAAAAGUUGGAAAGUUUCGUUUAGUCGGCGCAACAUCUGUGGUCAUAUGCCGGAAAGAGACAGAAGGGGAAGGAAUUAUAGGAGGAGGAAAAGGGAAGAGUAGAGGAGGGAAGGAAAGCAGGGGAGGGGAAGAGAGGGAGAGAAAGAAAGAAAAAGGUGGUGGGAUUGAGAGGAAGAGACGAUUGGACGGAAGAUUGAUGGAUGCAAGCGAUAAUUUUAAGGCUUGAGUUAUGGUCUUAGGCUUGUGUCGCUGGGGUUAAGACAUAUGGUCGUAUUACAAGACAAUUCAUCGCUCAAGAACACCUAUUUGACAAGGCUUUCGUAGGAGUUGUGGGCAUUUCCAGUAGUAGUUUUAUGACCCUGGUGGUAGUUUGACCCUUCUUCCGUGCCGCGAACCUGAAGAAACACUCACUAGAACCCGACUGACCCUCUCUUUGACCUUUAGAAAUAGCUGAUGUGAGAAGCGAAAGUAUCUUAUAAUAACAACCUUAGCCUUGAGGUGGUUUUAAAAGCAUACGAUGAAGGGAAAAGGAGUCAUGCGUGUAUUGAUAACGAGGGAUGGGUGACUGUCUGACUACAAUUGUUUUUUCUUGAAGGAUAAAACAGAUCGCUUGGAUGGAGUUUUACUGUUAUAAGCUAAGACAGAUUGAGGUUUCUAGUCUUCCCAUCCUUGAUAUUUUCUUUUCUACAAGGACAAAGGAGACGGCUCAAGGGCAAAAAGAAAAGUGUAGAAAAAAAGGCCGCAAUUUUCAACUCUUCACGUAUAAAAAAAAUUCAGAACACUAGUAUUUUGAGGGUAUCCGUGAUCCGUUAUACAAUAGCCUCCAAAACUCACUCUACUCACUGUCAGAUACCGGGAGACAAAGAGGUAGAAAAGUCGAGGAGUUCUUUAGCAUUUCAAGGAGGGUUUAUCGGCGCGCGAAGGCCGGGUGUCAGCCAGGAGAGUCAGCGGGGCGCGGGAAUGUAGGGCGGCGGCGGCGGCAGACAACGCGAUGAGUCACACGGCGCGAUCAAGAUAAGUGAUAAGCGGAAGAAACUGGCCAGGUAACAGACGUUUGUGGGCCACCGACCGACUGCUAUCUCGCUUUAUAGGUCACAGGUCCAGUCAGCAGCGGCCACUUACCUACACGCCCCGUCGAUAGUUUCAAUACGUAGUAGUUCAAGUAAUGAUCCGUGACGCGUGAAUGUUGUACGAUGCCAGUUAAUAACUCUAAUGGGAAGCAAUUAUUGUUUUCAUAUCCAACGGUGAUAACAACACGUGCACGGCCGGCUGGUGAAU